GCACUGCUGAGGAGUCCCAUGAUAGGACGAAACGGCCGUCCAGUGU
rfam:Schistosoma rodhaini strain Burundi genome assembly, scaffold: SROB_scaffold0007392